UCCAGAGGUCCCAAGCGUUGUUCGGAUUCACUGGGCGUAAAGGGUGCGUAGGUGGUCGGGUAAGUCUGUUGUGAAAUCUCCGAGCUCAACUCGGAAAUGGCAUUGGAUACUAUCUGGCUAGAGGAGUGGAGGGGGGACUGGAAUACUUGGUGUAGCAGUGAAAUGCGUAGAUAUCAAGUGGAACACCAGUGGCGAAGGCGAGUCCCUGGACACUUCCUGACACUGAGGCACGAAAGCUAGGGGAGCAAACAGG
rnacentral:rRNA from 1 species